rnacentral:piRNA from 1 species
UACAAAACUAUCGAAAUGAUC